AUGGCGUCGUUGCCAGAGGAGGAGGAGGCCUUCGAGCACACUCUGCUGGUGGUGCGCGAGGUGUCGGUGUUCAAGAUCCCGCCGCGCACCACCAGCGGCGGCUACAAGUGCGGCGAGUGGCUGCAGACGGACAAGAUCUGGACGGGCCGCCUCCGCGUGGUGUCGUGCGGCGACCGCUGCGAGAUCCGGCUCGAGGACCCGGGCUCCGGGGACCUCUUCGCCGCCUGCUUCGUGCUGCCGGGCCAGAGGGACAGCGCCGUCGAGACCGUGCUCGACUCUUCGCGCUACUUCGUGCUCCGCAUCGAGGACGGCAGGGGGAAGCAUGCCUUCGUCGGCCUGGGCUUCGGCGAGCGCAAUGAGGCCUUCGACUUCAACGUCGCCCUGUCGGAUCACGAGAAGUAUGUCAAGAGGGAGCAAGAUAAGGAGACCGGCGGUGAGGAGGCAGACGACAGCCAGAUCGAUAUCCACCCGGCGGUGAAUCGCCGGCUCAAGGAAGGUGAAACGAUUAGGAUAAACGUGAAAAACAAGCCAUCAACUAGAAGUGGCAUGCUUUCCUCUGCUGGUUUAUCUGGCGGGGCCACUGAAAAACCUAAAGCAAGCAUGCUCCUUGCACCACCGCCAGGUGCAACCGGGAAGCUUCGGUCUCCGCUCCCACCUCCCCCUAACGACUCUGCAUCUGCAAGAAUGAGUUCUGGACCCAAUGCUGGAACCAGGGCCUCAAAAGAACCUACCAAGAAAAGCAUCGACCCCUUUUCAGAUAUUUCUGCUAUAGAGCGAAGCCUACCCUCAUCCACCGAACUGGGACAAACAAAAAGCACUGGUGCCGGAUGGGCAGCAUUUUGA
rnacentral:rRNA from 1 species